UACAGAGGGUGCGAGCGUUGUCCGGAAUCACUGGGCGUAAAGGGCGCGUAGGCGGCUUGAUAAGGUUGCGGUGAAAGCCCGGGGCUCAACCCCGGGUCGGCCGUGGCAACUGUCGAGCUGGAGCACUGUAGAGGCAGGUGGAAUUCCGGGUGUAGCGGUGGAAUGCGUAGAUAUCUGGAAGAACACCAGUGGCGAAGGCGGUCAACUGGCCCGAAACUGACGCUGAGGCACGAAAGCGUGGGGAGCGAACAGG
rnacentral:rRNA from 1 species